UAGAUGAGUCCAAGUUUCAGCACAGAUCUA
rnacentral:piRNA from 1 species